AGAGUUUGAUCCUGGCUCAGAAGGAACGCUGGCAGCGUGCAUAACACAUGCAAGUUGAACGGGAUUGUUAUCUUCGGAUAACAUGAGAGUAGCGAACGGGUGAGUAACACGUAAGAAUCUACCUUUAGGACGGGGAUAACUUCUGGAAACGGAUGCUAAUACCCGAUAUGCUGUGGAGUGAAAGAUUUUUCGCCUAAGGAUGAGCUUGCGUCUGAUUAGCUAGAUAGGGUGGUAAUGGCACACUAUGGCGACGAUCAGUAGCUGGUCUGAGAGGAUGGACAGCCACAUUGGAACUGAGACACGGUCCAAACUCCUACGGGAGGCAGCAGUGGGGAAUUUUCCGCAAUGGGCGAAAGCCUGACGGAGCGACGCUGCGUGAAGGAUGACGGCCUGCGGGUUGUAAACUUCUUUUCUCGAAGAAGAAUCAAUGACGGUAUUCGAGGAAUAAGCAUCGGCUAACUCUGUGCCAGCAGCCGCGGUAAGACAGAGGAUGCAAGUGUUAUUCGGAUUGAUUGGGCGUAAAGCGUCUGUAGGCGGUUUAGAAAGUCUCUUGUGAAAUUCUUCAGCUCAACUGAGGGUCCGCAAAAGAAACUUCUAGGCUUGAGGGAAGUAGAGGUAUAGGGAAUUUCCGGUGGAGCGGUGAAAUGCGUAGAUAUCGGAAGGAACACCAAUAUGGCGAAGGCACUGUACUGGGCUUUUCCUGACGCUAAGAGACGAAAGCUAAAGGAGUGAUUAGGAUUAGAUACCCUAGUAAUUUUAGCCGUAAACGAUGGAAACUCACUGCCGAGCCGG
rnacentral:rRNA from 1 species